CAGCCAUGCCGCGUGCAGGAAGACUGCCCUAUGGGUUGUAAACUGCUUUUAUAGAGGAAGAAACCUCCCUACGUGUAGGGAGCUGACGGUACUCUACGAAUAAGAGAUCGGCUAACUCCGUGCCAGCAGCCGCGGUAAU
rnacentral:rRNA from 1 species